GAUGAACGCUAGCGGCAGGCCUAAUACAUGCAAGUCGAGGGGUAGUGGUUGCUUGCAGCCAUGAGACCGGCGCACGGGUGCGUAACGCGUAUGCAACCUACCUUCAUCUGGGGGAUAGCCCGGAGAAAUCCGGAUUAAUACCGCAUAAAAUCACAGUACGGCAUCGUACAAUGAUCAAACAUUUAUGGGAUGGAGAUGGGCAUGCGUGUCAUUAGUUAGUUGGCGGGUAACGGCCCACCAAGACCGCGAUGACUAGGGGAUCUGAGAGGAUGACCCCCCACACUGGUAAUGAGACACGGACCAGACUCCUACGGGAGGCAGCAGUAAGGAAUAUUGGUCAAUGAGCGCAAGCCUGAACCAGCCAUGCCGCGUGCAGGAAGACGGCCCUCUGGGUUGUAAACUGCUUUUAUUCGGGAAUAAACCUGCUUACGUGUAAGUAGCUAAAUGUACCGAAGGAAUAAGGAUCGGCUAACUCCGUGCCAGCCGCCGCGGUAACAC
rnacentral:rRNA from 1 species